rfam:Triticum aestivum genome assembly, contig: Triticum_aestivum_CS42_TGACv1_scaffold_294590_4AL
AAAGUACUCCCUCCAUCCCAAAAUUCUUGUCUUAGAUUUGUCUAGAUACGGAUGUAUCAAGUCACAUUUUAGUAUUAGAUACAUCCAUAUCUAGACAAAUCUAAGACAAGAUAUUUGGGACAGAGGGAGUAGUUG